UCAUUCCUUUCAAAAGUUCUGAUUUCUAAGGAAUGUUUCACUAACAAUCCCCAAGAAUGCUAAGGAUUAAGGAAUUCAGCCAGGCUCAGUGGCCCAUGCCUGUAUCCCAGCUCCUCUGAAAGCUGAGGCAGGAGCCGUCUGGGGGUGGGGGGAUUUAACCUAACCCUGGCAACUCUGGAGGUUGAGGCAGGAUGGCAAAACCAUCUUAAAAUAAAAAUAAGGGUUGGGGAUGUGGCUCACUGGUAAUGCGCCCCUAGGUUCAAAUGUACCUGCUUGCAAGGUUUGACUCCCUGAGGGAUCUCCCAGAUAACACAGCAGGUGAUACUGUCCCAGUACUGGCACAUUUCUGAGGGAGGAACAAGACUUCAAAAUACCAGCUCUGAUGUUUAUUUUUCUGGUUUUCACUUGAACACUGGUAGAGCUACCAGUGUCGCUGUCUGGCCUCUGGGGACUUGAACGACUCAGAUUUCAGUGGCUGCCCUUAGCUUGAGCAGCUGCUAUUUUUAAAAAAAUAUCAUUUUUUUGUAGUUGAAUAAAAUACCUUUAUAAAUCUAUUUUUAUGUGGUGCUGAGGAUCAAACCCAGGGCCUUGCAAGUGAGAGGUGAGCAUUCUACCCCUGAGCCACAAUCCCAGCUUGAUCAGCUGCUAUUAAUAGGUAAUUUAAUGUCAGUGCCUAACCCAGUUCUUGAAACUUGCUCUACACAUCCCAUCACAUGGAUGAACAAGUGAAGAUGGUGUUCUAGAUAACCAUGCUAGCUUUCUGAGGACAUGGUUUUCAUUUGAACCCCUGAGCCAGCUGGCAGAAUGGCAUGGCAUCUCCUAGAGGGGGCUCUCAUCACAGGCAGUUUCAUUUCCCUGAAUCCACAUAGCACACAUGAGGAUAUUAAGUUUGCUUGGGGACAUAAGAAAAUAGCUAACCCAACAGAAGAAAGACAUUUGAUCUGCGCUUCUGCACUGAAUCUGACACUCAGCUCAGCAUCUCACCUGUUCAUUACAGGGCUAGUCAUGGGGGAUUUCAAAGCCAAGCUAGAGGCACAUUAGAGACCUUAAGGAUAACUAGUAGCAAGAGAAAAUAAUCAAUGUGCUUAACUUAGGGCAAAUUCCCCACUCAAAGCUUUUUGUGUGUGCGUAUCCCAUUGGGGUGCUAUACCACUGAGCCAUAUCCCUAGCCCUUUUUGAGACAGGGUCUUGCUAAGUUGCUGAGGCUGGCUUGGAACCUACAAUUGUCCUGUCUCAGCCUCCCAAGUCACUCGCAUCACAGGCAAUAGCCACUGUGCAUAGCCUGCUCAAAGCUUUAAGAUUGAUUUGGGUAUCCUCCAGAUUAAAUGGCAGGAAGAGACAAACUUUACCAGAAAGGAGUUGUGGGGAAAGGAGCCAAUUUACGGCAUUUUGUUUGCAGAAUGGAUGGAUGGGAAAGAACACACAAAAAAAACAGGCAAAGACUUUAAUUACGUGGUUCCGAAGUUUAAUUCAACCAUUAUUCCUAAUUUUGCCUUGUAAAAAUAACAAAACGUUCCUAUCAAAAUUGCAUUGUGAUGUGAGGACAAGUUUCUUGUUUUGAUACAGCUUUAGAAACAUGUUGGCACCAAAUGUUAUUAAAAAAAAUUAAGGCUUAAUAAAAAUACAGACUAGUAAUUUCUUAAUGCAGCUUGGAGGUUGAGGACAGGAUGUGUCCACAUACAGACAGCAUCUUCCUAAUGUGGGUGCACACCAUACCCACAAUGCUGGGCUCACCUGGGAAGUGCCUUCUCUGCUCCCGCAGUGAGCACACUGCCCAGGACACGGACUCAGAACAGAGUUUCCUUCUCAUUGGCACAACAGCAGGAACCAGCACAGUAAUGUCAGAUAUUUUUCUUGGCAAUUUGAUUUAGAAUUCACAAUUUAUUUUCUCUAAGAAAACAUCAUUACAAAUAGUGGUUCAUAUCUAUCAUUAACACUAGUUCCUUGUAAGUCAAACAAGUUAGUGGGUUUUGGCUUAAAAAGCUAAGCAACAUUUAUAUUAUUUUAGUGGGAACUUGCCCUGCCCCAGAAUUCCAAACAAUGUUAUAAAUGACUUUGAACAGAAACCUGUUCAAGUUCUCAGGACUCACAUGGAAUGCUUUUGGCUCCAUGGUAUAUAGGGCAACUGAAGGGGUUAAGAUUCUUUGGCUGACAAGUCAUAUGCAGACCCCUCCAUGUGCCAGGAGCCAGAGCCUGGGGAUUCAUUAGCUCCUGCAGGUAGCGUUAGACCACACAAGACCUGCCAUUUGUCCAAAGCUAAAGGACACCGAGGAUGUUCCUAGCACCUGAUUCGAGCCCUGUAGGCACUUAAAGCAAUAGCCAUGCCACCAAGGCCCUCUCCUGUUAAUAUGCCCACCACAAGGAAGCAGGGAACUGAGGCUGCAGUGGACAGGGAGGGACCUCUGCCUGACAAAUGAAGCAACAUGACUCAUGCCAGCAAAGCAUCUGCUGACGUGAGAGCUGAGACUCUGCUGACAAACUACUUAACGCUCUGGCCUAUUGUUUAUAGUAGGUUCCAGAGGUGCUGCAGUUUCAAAAAGGUGGCUGAAGCAGUGGACUGCUUUCUGGAAGAUGUCAGAAACCAAAUCCACAGCAAGACAGACUGGGCUCUCUUCAGCUGUUCCUGGAUGCCUAGUCAGCAGGAGACAGCUCACGGAAGAGCCCACCAGCCACUCAGCACCAGCUCCCUGCCCUUGCCCACCUCAGAAUCCUGCUCCAUCAGAACAAAUGAGCAGACACCAGGGGAGCCCUCUAUCCUCAUCCCCAGACAUGUAGCUUGCAGUCUGAAAGGCCCCAGUCCUCUAGGCAGCCAGCUUCACACACAGGGCAACCCUCUCCCACCCCCUUUUGUUUGGGCUAAAGAAAACAAUAAAUUUUUAAUACUCUGUA